AUACGUAGGGAGCGAGCGUUGUCCGGAAUUACUGGGCGUAAAGGGCGCGUAGGCGGCGCUUCAAGUCGUCUGUCAAAUGGAAGGGCUUAACCCUUUUUCGCAGACGAAACUGGAGAGCUUGAGAAGCAGUGAGGCAAACAGAAUUCCUGGUGUAGCGGUGAAAUGCGUAGAGAUCAGGAAGAAUACCAGUGGCGAAGGCGGUUUGCUGGCUUCAUACUGACGCUGAAGCGCGAAAGCCAGGGGAGCGAACGGGAUUAGAUACCCCGGUAGUCCUGGCAGUAAACGAUGUAUACUGGGUGUGAGACUAGCGAUAGUUUCGUGCCGAAGUUAACGCGAUAAGCAUACCGCCUGGGGAGUACGGUCGCAAGAUUGAAACUUAAAGGAAUUGACGGGG
rnacentral:rRNA from 1 species